rnacentral:rRNA from 1 species
UACGUAGGGUGCGAGCGUUGUCCGGAAUUAUUGGGCGUAAAGAGCUCGUAGGCGGUCUGUCGCGUCGGUCGUGAAAAACUUGGGGCUUAACCCCGAGCUUGCGGUCGAUACGGGCAUGACUGGAGUUCGGGCAGGGGAGACUGGAAUUCCUGGUGUAGCGGUGGAAUGCGCAGAUAUCAGGAGGAACACCGAUGGCGAAGGCGGCUCACUGGCCCGAUACUGACGCUGAGGCACGAAAGCGUGGGGAGCAAACAGG